rnacentral:rRNA from 1 species
GUGAGGUAAUGGCUCACCAAGGCUACGAUCAGUAGCAGUCUGAGAGGAUGAUCUGCCACACUGGGACUGAGACACGGCCCAGACUCCUACGGGAGGCAGCAGUUAGGAAUAUUGGACAAUGGGCGAAAGCCUGAUCCAGCCAUGCCGCGUGUGUGAUGAAGGCCCUAGGGUUGUAAAGCACUUUCGUUGGGGAAGAUAAUGACUGUACCCAAAGAAGAAGCACCGGCUAACUUCGUGCCAGCAGCCGCGGUAAUACGAAGGGUGCAAGCGUUGUUCGGAAUCACUGGGCGUAAAGAAUGCGUAGGCGGCUUAACAAGUCGGGAGUGAAAUCCCAGGGCUCAACCCUGGAACUGCUCUCGAAACUGUUUUGCUAGAGUCCCGGAGGGGUUAGCGGAAUUCCGAGUGUAGAGGUGAAAUUCGCAGAUAUUCGGAGGAACACCAGUGGCGAAGGCGGCUAACUGGACGGGAACUGACGCUGAGGCAUGAAAGUGUGGGGAUCAAACAGGAUUAGAUACCCUGGUAGUCCACACCGUAAACGAUGUGUGCUAGUUGUCGGGCAGCUUUGCUGUUCGGUGACGGAGCUAACGUUUUAAGCACACCGCC